GCUAGCGUGACAGAGCCAGGCAAAUGUAA
rnacentral:tRNA from 1 species